rnacentral:misc_RNA from 1 species
UUUUACGGUGUCGAUGAAAGCCUGUGGGCUUUCGGAGUCAACUUCGAUGUCGAAUACAUCGAUACCGGCAAA